GGGAGGAGGAAGGGAAGGAAGGAGGGAGAAAAGAGGAGGAGAGGAAGGAGACUGAAUGCCCGGCCCACAGCCCAGUGUGAGCGGGGUGUGCCCACCUCCCCUUCCGGGUCCUCUUUCUCCUCCGAGGACUCAGCUCUGCCUCUUCUGGGAAGGUCUCUCUGAUGGCCUGCACAGCCCCUCUGCGCCCUGGGUGCCCUCCCCAUUUCCUGAUCCAGUCCCUGCCAGAGUGUCUGGAUUAGAAUUGCCACACCUGCCUAUCCAUGGUGGGCCUCUGGCUGCACCGUCCGCUCAUCUUAGGGCCUGUGCAUCUGUGCCGGGCCACACGCAUGGGCAUUCUCUAGGUGCGAUGUACCCAGUGUCUGUGCCCUGGGGGGCCUCUGCUCUUCCUGUGACAGGAAGUGGAAUGGCCAGCAGAGUUGGGAACCCAGAGCCCUGGUCACCUGGAAUGGGGGAAGCUGCCAAGGAGGAGAGGCAGUCCCACGGUGGGCACUGACCCACCCAGAGGAUCCCACGGCCCCAGGACGGCACUUGGGGAUGGUUCACAUUUCUCUCCCGCCACUGGCUCUUCUUACCUGCGGCCGAGUGUCCAGGUGGUGGGAUGUGACCUAUGUGGGAGCUCCGCUGUGGGCCCCCAGGACCAAGCUUGCAGAGUUGGAGGUCCACACUUGUGGGCAGGUGGGACAAGGCUGGGGGACCAGAAAGAUCAGAGGCAGGAGCACAGACUCGAUGGACCUUCCUGCGUCUGCCUGGGGGCCAGCUUGGAGGGCUUCCUAGCAGAGCUGCAGAGGUGAAGGCCACAACCCACUUCGCUCUGCUCAGACCUCUCUGAGCCUUGGCUGCCCCACUUUCUGACAGCCAGGUCCCAGUGGCCUAGCAGCCCCAGAGGUCUGUGCAGCCCACCUGGCUGUCCCUCCAGUUUGUCCUCGGUGCUGGCCUUGUGGCUUGUGGUUCAUUCCUCUGCAGCCUGAAGGCCAGACCUAUGGCUGUCUCUGCAAGUCCAGAAGCAGAGAGCAGAGGCGGCUUCCUGCUUUCUCAGUGCACAGCACCUGGCCUGAGACCUCUGAGCAGCCACCCUGCUGCAGGUCCCGGAAGAGGAGUGUCCAGGUUCCUGGCUGGGCCCCUGCCCAUACAAGCUGUGUGGACAUAGGCAAGUAGCCUGCUCCUCCUCUGGAGCUCCCAGGGUCAGCAGGAGCCUGAGCACACGUGGACCCUGGGCAGCCAGGGAGACACGGGGGUGCUUAAUCAGUGCCCGGGAGGGUCGGCUGUGGACCCCAGCCUGCGGGUCAGGGUGGGUUGUUAGGAGACCAGCUCCAAAUCCAGGCCGGGGACGUGCAGCAGUUUGUGGUAGGCACGAAGGCAGCACUCAAGUUCCAGAGAGAGGGGAGGGAAACCCCGGCUUCUCACAGAGCUGUUUCCCCAGCUGCACGAGCAGCAGGUUGGAGAGAGCUCAUCUGCUUCUUCAGUGCGCGGCUCAGCUCUCCCCACCCCUGGCCUGGUGGAGGCUGCCCCGAGGCCUGGAGCUGGCUUGGAAAGGCCAGAAACCUCCAGGACAUCAUUUGGAAAAUGAAGAUGGGCAGGAUCAAUGGGCGUCAGGGGAGGCAGAGGCAGAGGCUGGCGGAUGGGCAGUCAGGAAGGCCUGAGAAGACGGCCCUGUGGUGUUCACUCCUUCCCUGACACCCUGGGAGUGGUCCUCAGCUCCCGAGGACCUGGCCUGUCCGUUGUCAGGGAGGGGAGAGCAGAAAGCAGCUGCAAGGGCACCUCCCCCAGGCCGGCCGGAAAAGGCAGGGGUCUGUGGGUGGACUGGGGACCAGUGGGUCCCAUCCAAGAGUGAGCCCCAGGCACUGGGGAGGCAGGGAGGGACACCUCCGCCAUGCUGGAAACCCGUGUCCCCUUCCCCCUCCGAGGUUUGAUGCUAAUCUUACUGUUGGGACCAGCACACGCCAGCAUGACGGGGUGCUUUGGAAAGAGGACAAAGAAAAAAAAUCCAAGUUUUCAGCACCCUGAUACAGGGCUGUUUCUGAGCAAAGGGCUUCCCUAAGGAUGUCAUGAUACUGUGUGUCAUGUUCACGGAAGCAACGUGUGGGAAGGGCCUGGGCCCACUUUGCCCCAAGGUUGAGCUGCUGUCCCUCACCACUAAGAGGCUUGGGAACCCCGGGGCCAGGGGGAUCUGUGGUCUGAGGAUCUCACCAUCUGUCCAAGCAGGUAGACUGUCAAGAGCUGAAGAGUGUCCCCCAGAGCUCCUAGGAUGAAGUUGUAACCCCUAGUAUUUUAGAAUGUGACAGUGUGGGGCUAGGGCCCUUUAAAAUGUAAUUAAGUUACAAGGAGGCCAGGAGGCGGGACCUCAUCCAACCUGCUGGGGUCAUUAUUAGAGGAGAUUGGGACACACACACACAAAGGGACAACUUCGAGAGGACACAGAAGCAGAUGGCCUUCUACAUGCCAAGGAGAGAGGCCUGAGGAGGGAGCAGCCCUGCCCACACCUUGCUAAUUCUCAGAGAGUAUCACACACACAGUCAAUGCUGGGGCAGGCUGCUGGAGCUCUGCCCUCCAGGGCAGGGAGGAACUGGUAUCCGAUGCUUCAGCUGCCUGGUCUGUAGCCCUGUGCGGCAGGCUGCUGGAGCUCUGCCCUCCAGGGCAGGGAGGAACUGGUAUCCGAUGCUUCAGCUGCCUGGUCUGUAGCCCUGUGCGAGGCAGCCCAGGCUGGUGGAUGAAGAGCCAGGCUCAUGGAGGGGGGCAAAUGCCCUGCUCAGCCUGGCCCAUGGUCCCUGGGUUCAGUGUCUUCCCUCACCAUGCAGGCUCCAAGUGCUCAGAGCUCCUGGCUGGGCACAGAAGGCUGGCGUGUGGCUGGAGAAAAGGUGAGGGCCUGUGGGCGGGGAUGGCAUCUUAGCACUCCAAAGGUGGCUGUUCAUUCAUGACUCAUUGGACCCCAGAAAGGGCAGGAUGUUCACAUGUGUACAUGUGUGCGUGUACAAAUGUACAUGCAUGUGUGUGCACACAUGUGCACUCAUGUGUGUGCAUUCCUGUGGUGACUGAGCUGAAUGAGGCCCACCCUCAUGGGUCCCGCAGAGUGGGAUGAGGAGGCGGCGGGACCCGGGGGGUUCCGAGGUGUCGGGGCCUGGGGGGUUCAGAGGCAGCAGGGCCUGGGGGUGCGGAGGUGGCAGGACCUGGCUGCUACACUCCACAACAGUGAUGAAAAUGGAUGAGGCCGGUGGCGCUGGCCUGGAACGAUGGCCGGUACAGAUUAUAUAUUUUGCAUGACGGAAUCUGAGGGAGCAGAGGCAGCGGAAUGCCAUUUUGGCUAAAAAAGAAAAACAGCACACAAUUAUAGAUAUAAAUUAUAUGUAUAUACACAUACACAUGCACAUAUUUCCCCGUUUGUCUGAGAGCAAAGGAAAUAAGACCACAGUGAUGUGCUGCUCCAUCACCACUGGUGACCUUGAGAGGGCAGAGGGGAAGAUUUGAUUUUUUCUGCAGUGGGGACUGUAUUCUCGGAAUUCUGAAGAGCACAAUGACCUUCAUCCUAGAGAAGCCAGUGCAGGGGACGAGAGAGCAGACCAAGGCUGAAGGGAGCCCUCGGGGAGGACAGAGGGCUGGGGUUGGGGAACAGCCCCUCCCCAUUAGGGCAGGGCUCCCUGGACAGGGCACUGCUGGGCUAGGAUCUGGGAUGGGAGGCCCCUGCGCCCCUCCCGUGGUUCUGGAGAGGUUGUCAGGGGAGGGGUGAGGUUGGGGAUGGGGACGGGGGCUGGGAGCUCCCCACCUGGGCUGUGAGGGGUGUCUGAGAGCAUGCCUUCUGUGGGGAAUUGUGGAUGGAAGAGACAGGCAUAGACCUUGCUGGGUCCAGGUGGGCUGCGGCCGCCCGAUCCCAGGACUCUGCCACUGGGCACGGCUGUCUGCUGACUGCAGGACAGGCCACGUGUGGGCAGGGAACGUGGCUCCACAUGUGGGGCCUUCAGAGCCCGCCCACCAGCACAGAGUUCCAUCCAGCCCAGAGGCCGGCCCUGUCCACAGGGAGCCAUGGGACCAGCUCUCCACACAGUGGGUGACGGAGAUGGAGGCCCGGCCAUGGCUGGCAAUACCCUGCAGACCAAUCUACCCCAACAUACUUCCACCCCCACUGAAGCCUUCCUCAUGACACCCCAGGCCUCCCACCGUCACGUCUAGCCAUCCAGCCUAGGACUCCCCUCUCUUCCUUAGGCCUCCUCCUCCUCCUCCCUUCCUCCCUAGACCUCCUCCUCCUCCCUUCCUCCCUAGACCCCCUCCUCCUCCUUUGGUUCACAAACACUUCCUAGGCCUCCCCUCCAGUUCUCCAGUGCCCUCAGGAAUGUCCUGUUCCUGGUAGAGCCUUCCUUGGUGGGCCAGGGUGGCCUGGCCCUACAUACUCCAGCCUGGCCUUCACUCUGCCUGUGGCCUGGCCCCAUGGUCAAGUCAGAAGAGAAUCAGUCACUGGCUUGUUCUUUCUCUAUGUCAGGGAACGCUGGCAAAUCACAGCUGAAAGGUGGCCUGGCAUUGGAUGGCGGGUCUGGGAUCACUGGAACAGUCUCCUCUGCUUUACAGCCGAGGCCAGUGAGGUCUCGCAGACCCUGCACAGGUCCCCGGGGCUCCAGGAACCUCUGCUGAGGAGGGGCUGGUGCAGCCCAGCUGGGUAGCAGGUAUGGGACGGCUGGGAGAGGCUGCAACUCCAGGCUGCCUCUGCCACUGACAAGACCCGGGUCUAGGUGAGUCCCUUCUCCACUCUGGACCUUGGCUUCCCCAUCUGAAGAUGCAGGUGGUUAGAUACGUGCUCUGGGGCCCCGCUGUGGCGGAUCUCCCUGAGCAGGCUGUUCCCAUCUCAAUGCUAUUACACUCGGGGCUGGAUUCUUCCUCGUAGGACAGCUGUCCUGUGCCCUGUGAGACGCUGAGCUGCACAUCCAGCCUCUCCCAGUGAGGUGCCAGUGUCCCCUCCCUCCAGCUGCAUAAUCAUUAAUGUCCCCAGACAUUGCCACACAUCCCUGGGGGCAGAACCACCCUGGCGGAGACCCCAGCUCCAAAGACCCUCUUGAUCUUGCCCUAGGUCCCUGAGCCCCCUGGAUCUAUAGCAAAAUGGUGUGCGCAUAUAUGCGCUUUUCUGGGGAGAAGGCCACAGAGGUUACAGGGUCUAAAAGGAAGGUAUGCACCAAGAUUAGAAUCCCGGUGGCUGCUGUGCUUUCGUGAUGCCGCCCAUGAGGAGACCCCGCCAUCUUUGCUCAGAAGAGCCAGCCAAGGCGUCUGACUCCAGGCACCAGGCUGAGCUCUGCCUCUGGGCUAGGCCACGUUCCCUGACCCCAAAGAUCUCCGGUCUUCUCGCUGCCUCUCCUUUCCCUCGUUCUCAUUAGAAAAUCUCUUCCGCAAAUUGCCCCUUUAUCUGAAGUAUUCCUAUCGGGUUUCUAAACCCCGCUGAUGGAACAGGGCUAUUACAUAUGCGAUCGUGGAACAGGGCUGUUACAUAUGCGAUCGCCUGCAUUUAUUUACAUAUCAGCAGCAAAGGGGGCCUGAGUUUUCAUCUGGAUGACACAGCUGUGCUUGUAAAAAGGGCGUCUAUUAAAAGGGCCAUUGCUUGGUACAAGCUACAGAGUCUAAUUGGCUUCUCAGGGACAUUUUUUUAUUAUUAUUAUUUGCUCGGGGAACUGUUCAUUUGAGCAAAUGAUAUUAAAUGACUCUUGUCUCAGUCUUUAAGGAAUUACCAGCUGAAAAACAAUGCGGAGAUGUCAGCCGUGGCGUGACAAAGGCUUCUGGCAACGCGUCUGCCCGUGGACCCGGCCUGCCGCGUUUCCGAUCGCGUUCCUGCCUGUACGAGUGACGGUGCCUCCCUCCUGUGUUUGCUGUGGGGUUACAGAGCUCAUGCUGCCGUGGCUUCCAGCCCCGUUUGGAAGAUGACCAGAAGCUCAGAACAGAGCACUGUGGGCCGCAACUGAGAGAGGACACAUGGUUCACAGAAUCCUACGAGUAUCACUACUUCACAUUGCUCAGGACAUCCUAGAAGUCUGUGAGGUCACGGCCAGUGGCCACCCACCAAACAGGGAAAAACCCCAGGCCUGCAAGCCUCCACCACCUACCGUGACCUCACGAGAACCAGCCACAGGGACCAGAGGUCAGACCCACGGCUCCAGUCCAUCCUGGGUGAUGCAGGCCCCAAGGCUGUGGGAUGCGCUGGGCUGGGUUCCCCUAGGAGGUGAGGGCUGAGUUGGAUUGAGGGUGGCAGGGGUAAGGGGAGAUCUAUAGAGCCGGGUGACUGGAGCUCUUGCUGGCUGCACCCCAGCACUCAGGCCUGGACCCGCAGGAGCCCACCUUGGCUCCUGCCUGCUCCCAGCCUCCCCAGCGCCCCAUCUGUGGGCUGUCAGUGGUGCUCUAAUUAGUGGCCCACAGGUGACACACACACAGCAUCUGUAACUUCGCGGCUGCCGACUCCAGCACAGCUCACGAAAAGCCCCGGGGUGCUUUUCGUCAUAGUCCUCGGCGCCUCUGGGGAGAAGCCUGAUGUGUGGGAUGCGUUGACAAGCGGUAGGUUUGAGUCUCUGGAAUAACGGCGGGGGUGGGGGUCGGCUCCCAUAUCGGGAGGGAAGCCAGGCUUGUGUCAUUGCAGUGAGCCCAGAUGAGAAACAGAGGCUGAUACAGAGGGCCACGGCUCUCCACUGCUGUCAACCACACCCCUCAACCGCAGCCCCACAGCUCAGGUCAGAGGCCCCAGAGAAACUUCCAGAACUGUGGCCAGGUACACGGCGGUUUGCGGGGGAAGUUAUAAAGUUCAAGGAAGAACAAAGGAGUGAGCUUCCCAGAAUGAAAACAUAACAUUUCAGAGGUAAUUUCAUAAAAGGAGUCAUCAGACCAA